rnacentral:rRNA from 1 species
UACGUAGGUGGCGAGCGUUGUCCGGAUUUACUGGGCGUAAAGAGCGCGCAGGCGGUCGUUCAAGUCGCGUGUGAAAGCCCCCGGCUCAACUGGGGAGGGUCACGCGAUACUGAUCGACUCGAAGGCAGGAGAGGGAAGUGGAAUUCCCGGUGUAGUGGUGAAAUGCGUAGAUAUCGGGAGGAACACCAGUGGCGAAGGCGACUUCCUGGCCUGUUCUUGACGCUGAGACGCGAAAGCGUGGGGAGCAAACAGG